rnacentral:misc_RNA from 1 species
ACGCGCUGAGUCGAAUCGAGUCGGGGCGAGCCGCGCCGAGCGGUGCCGAGCGGGACCGACCGCCGGGGUCGAGCGGAGCCGAAAGCCCCCGCGGUUGGUCGCGUCGCGUCGCGUCGCGCCGCGCGUAGCGAGUAGCACCGCGCCGGAGCGUGUGUGUGCGCGCGCGCGCGUCUGUCCGCGCUUACAACUCGCUCUCCGCGCUCCUGUGCCCGCUUCACCGCGCUGCUCUCCUCCGCACCCGGCCGCGAGAGAACGGCCACACACCGCGGGAGAGUCCCGUCGUCGUUGUGUUAUCGUAUAGCUUCGCGCGUCGCCUCGCCAGCCUCGUCGACAUUGUUAUUGUUAACGUCAUCGUCAUCGCCGUCAACCUUCUCGUUUCGUCGCGCGUGUGUUGUACGCCGCGUCCCUUCCGACUGGCCCGCGCGCGUGCAUGGACGACACGCGCGCACGAGCCGACGAGGACAUAGCCCUGGAUUCGUCCCGCUUACGCUCGUCCGCUCGGCUCGGCUCCGCUGCCGCCGCCGCCGCCGCCGCUGCCGCUGCCGCUGCCGCCGUCACUGCCACCGCUGCCAGCAGCGUUGCCGCCACAACCACCACCUCCACCACCUCCUCGGCCGCCGCUGCCACUUGCCACCGCGUCGCGAGACGCAAGAGGAAGAAGAGGAGGCGUCAGCGGCUCGCUACAAGCAGCGACGACGUGCCCGUCGUGGUCGCCUCCCGCAGCGCUACCACGAGUAACGCUGCCGCCGCCGCCGCCGUCGAAACCGACGCCGACGCCGUUGUCGUCCUCGAGCCUGACGCUGUCACCGACGCCGACGCCGACCCCGACGCAAACGCAGCGACCGCCGCGGAAACGACAGACCCGGCGGCGGCGCGGGUCGAUAAACUGAGGAGCCGCCUCCUCCUCGGCGAGCAGCACACCGCCGCGGCCGCCGCGGCCGGCGGGGAAGUCCAGCAGCAGCAGCAGGUACGCGUCGGAGGAAGCGGCACGCGCGCGGCGGCCGCCUCCUCCGUCGGCACCACCGCCGGCGUCACCACGCUUCUCAACCGACGCGCCGGCAAGCGCUCGCCACGGCGAUGCAACGCCGGCGGACGUAGGAGCGCGAUGACGAUGGACCUGCAGCGGCUGAUCAACGAGGUGCACGCGAGGCCCGCGAUCUGGGACCAGAAGAACGUCAACUACCACAACCGCGACGUCAUACUGAAGAUGUGGCGGGAGAUCGCGAGGGCGUGCGAGGUGUCGACGGAUGUCGCCAAGUCCAAAUGGAAACACCUGCGCGACAACUUUCGGAACGAGCUGAAAAAGACCUACCGGGGUAAGUGCGACGGUAUCGGCGGCACCGAGCACGACUCCAAGUGGGUCUGGUUCAAGAGCCUCUUCUUCCUGCGGGACCAAAUGAAUUCGAGGGUGAUCGGCUGCGCCCUGUCGCAAAAUUGCGUUGGCGCGAUCGGUAUGCGCUCGUCUCCGGACGGCACGCAAAUCGAGCCGCAGAUCGAUAUUCUCGAGGGCCACGAGGAGACGCAGUUCGACGACCUGGACGGUGACUCUUGCCAGUCCCUGCUGUCCAACGACGAUGGCCUGCAUCAGGUGAUGCCGCCGCCGAAGAUGAACAAGAUACUCGGCCGGAAACGGGCGCUAAUGGAUGUGCUCGACAACGAUUAUGGCGUGGAGGUGGAUCGGAAACGGUACGAGUCGCUGCAGAAACGACUGGCGAUCGGGCCCGAGGAUGAGGACGACACCUACCACUUCCUCAUGAGCGUGCGGAAUCCUCUGAGAAGCCUGCCGCUCGACAGGCAGAUGUUCGUUCGUCUCAAGAUUCAGGAGUUGGUCUACAACGAGAUCAAUUCGCAGAACCAACAGCAGCAGACCGCGAGCCGUGGAACCUACGACGCCUCCUCGCAGGGCCAGGACGUGAAACCCCCGCGCGCCGGUAACGGCGGCAACGGCGUCGUCAGUGGCGACGUCGUCAGCGAUAUGUCGAAUCCUGUGUCGUUGCUGCAGAACUGCACGGCCGAGGGCACCGGUGACGAUGCCUUCUUCGGCUGAAGAGAGCCCGUUUGCAGUUUAAUUCGCUAAUAAACGUAAAGAACCACCGAGAGAAAGAGAGAGAGGGCCGCGCGGAUUAUAUAUCCCAAACUCAUUCAUCUCUGUUCCCUUCCUGAUCCUUCCAAGGCAAGAAUUCACAACGUGACGAGGUAACUUUUCGCCCGGCUAGAACGGCCGUCUAGACGAGAUGCACUGUAACACGGCAUUUUGCACCGACUUGAAUGGCUUAAUCGAAAGUCCGGCCCGCGCCUAAUGCAUCGCUUUCUCAGUUUUUCUCUACUAAAGCAGAUUAAUUACUCGGUGUGUGCGACCGCCAUCAGUCGCCUGUGCAUGUGGAUGGUUAUCUGGAGUAAGGAAACAGUCGGCGGACACCAGGAGGUCGUCGUCAUAAUCGCGCAGGAGGGAACGAGGAAACAGCGGUCACGUUAUGGUAUGUGAUGAAUUA